rnacentral:rRNA from 1 species
ACGCACGCUGGCGGCAGGCCUAACACAUGCAAGUCGAGCGAGGACUUCGGUUCUAGCGGCGGACGGGUGAGUAACGCGUGGGAAUGUGCCCUUCUCUACGGAAUAGCCCUGGGAAACUGGGAGUAAUACCGUAUACGCCCUAUUGGGGAAAGAUUUAUCGGAGAAGGAUCAGCCCGCGUUGGAUUAGGUAGUUGGUGGGGUAAUGGCCUACCAAGCCGACGAUCCAUAGCUGGUUUGAGAGGAUGAUCAGCCACACUGGGACUGAGACACGGCCCAGACUCCUACGGGAGGCAGCAGUGGGGAAUCUUAGACAAUGGGGGCAACCCUGAUCUAGCCAUGCCGCGUGAGUGAUGAAGGCCUUAGGGUUGUAAAGCUCUUUCAGCUGGGAAGAUAAUGACGGUACCAGCAGAAGAAGCCCCGGCUAACUCCGUG